rnacentral:rRNA from 1 species
UACGGGGGGGGCAAGCGUUGUUCGGAAUUACUGGGCGUAAAGGGCUCGUAGGCGGCCAAUUAAGUCGGAUGUGAAAUCCCCAGGCUUAACCUGGGAACUGCAUCCGAUACUGGAUGGCUUGAAUUCGGGAGAGGGAUGCAGAAUUCCAGGUGUAGCGGUGAAAUGCGUAGAUAUCUGGAGGAACACCGGUGGCGAAGGCGGCAUCCUGGACCAAUUCUGACGCUGAGGAGCGAAAGCCAGGGGAGCAAACGGG